rnacentral:rRNA from 1 species
GACGAACGCUGGCGGCGUGCUUUACACAUGCAAGUCGAGCGGGAACCUCUCGAGGGGUCACCUUUGAGAGGGGAGAGCGGCGAACGGGUGAGUAACACGUGGGCAACCUGACACAGACCCCGGGAUAACUCAGGGAAACCGGGGCUAAUACCGUAUACUCCGGUCCGAUCGAAUGCUCGGACAGGGAGAGCUCCGACGGUCUGGGGUGCGCCCGCGGCCUAUCAGGUUGUUGGUGGGGUAACGGCCUACCCAGGCGACGACGUGUAGCUGGUCGGAGAGGACGGCCAGCCACACUGGGACUGAAACACGGCCCAGACUCCUACGGGAGGAAGCAGUGGGGAAUAUGGCGCGAAGGCGCGAAAGCGUGACGCAGCGACGGCGCGUGCGGGAUGAAGGCCCUCGGGUCGUAAACCGCUUUCGCCAGGGACGAAGCGAGAGUGACGGUACCUGGAGAAGAAGUCCCGGCUAACUACGUGCCAGCCGCCGCGGUAAUAC